ensembl:miRNA
ACCUUGGCUCUAGACUGCUUACUGCUUAAAACUCAGUGAAACUACAGUAACAGUCUACAGUCAUGGCU